UGGGUGUAAAGGGAGCGCAGGCGGGAGAACAAGUUGGAAGUGAAAUCCAUGGGUUCAACCCAUGAACUGCUUUCAAAACUGUUUUUCUUGAGUAGUGCAGAGGUAGGCGGAAUUCCCGGUGUAGCGGUGGAAUGCGUAGAUAUCGGGAGGAACACCAGUGGCGAAGGCGGCCUACUGGGCACCAACUGACGCUGAGGCUCGAAAGUGUGGGUAGCAAACAGGAUUAGAUACCCUGGUAGUCCACACCGUAAACGAUGAUCACUAGGUGUUGGAGGAUUGACCCCUUCAGUGCCGCAGUUAACACAAUAAGUAAUCCACCUGGGGAGUACGACCGCAAGGUUGAAACUCAAAGGAAUUGACGGGGGCCCGCACAAGCAGUGGAGUAUGUGGUUUAAUUCGACGCAACGCGAAGAACCUUACCAAGUCUUGACAUCCUGCGACGCACAUAGAAAUAUGUGUUUCCUUCGGGACGCGGAGACAGGUGGUGCAUGGUUGUCGUCAGCUCGUGUCGUGAGAUGUUGGGUUAAGUCCCGCAACGAGCGCAACCCUUAUGGUCAGUUACUACGCAAGAGGACUCUGGCCAGACUGCCGUUGAUAAAACGGAGGAAGGUGGGGAUGACGUCAAAUCAUCAUGCCCUUUAUGACUUGGGCUACACACGUACUACAAUGGCGUUAAACAAAGAGAAGCAAGACCGCGAGGUGGAGCAAAACUCAGAAACAACGUCCCAGUUCGGACUGCAGGCUGCAACUCGCCUGCACGAAGUCGGAAUUGCUAGUAAUCGUGGAUCAGCAUGCCACGGUGAAUACGUUCCCGGGCCUUGCACA
rnacentral:rRNA from 1 species